ACAUGUUUAACAAAAUUCCAUGUACUUUUUGCAGAACUCAAACUUAGCAGGUGAAGAAGGUAGCUGUCGACUCUCAGCGGCUAUAAAUAUCAACACACUUACUGUCGUAACGGUAAAUAAGGGUGCGUGACAUUAUUAUGAUUUGUGUUAAUUACCACAAAAGCGAAAAAAAUCUGAAGUAAGCGCUCUUGCGCCUGAUUUGUAUGGGAGCUAUAAAAGUGAAGUGGGAAACACUGAUAUGUAGGGUAAGGAGCAGAAAUAUGGCUACAAACUUCGCAAAGCAAAUAGCAAUAAGGAAUCAAGUAUAAUAAUUUGGUAUCACAGAGAGGUACAUAUCGAAAUCACCCCUCAUUGUGGCAUUUUUUUCGCGCACAUAACUCCGAGGAAUAUUUAUGUGUGGCGAAUUCGCUGGAGGCACAGUGAGCGUUUUCACGGAUGGAACGAGGCUCAAGGAGAAGGUUGUAGUAGGAGUCUUCUAUCGGGAGGCUCAAUCAACUUUUGUUUCAGACUGCCAGACCACUGUAGUGUCUAUCAAACAGAUGUGGCAACCAUCAAGGUAGCAGCAGUUGUACUUCUUCGAAGUACGGCUUCUUUUAGAAAGGUACUUGUAUGUAUCCACUUUGAUAACAGAGCUGCUAUACAGGCCUUGAACUCGUUGACAGUGAGCAUAAAGCUAGUCAAGGAGCGCAUAAACUUACCAGCAGUAGUAUCAAGCUACUAUCAUAUUAAACUUGUCAGGGUGCCCGGCCACAACGAAAUGGUCGGAGACUGUAAAGCCGAAGAGCUUGCAAAGAGUGCAACCUAACCCAAAUUCCAUUAGGCUGGGAACUAGCAGAUGUUAUCCUGUUUUCGUGCAUCCCGCCACUGAAUUUAUGGAUCCCGCGCAAGCACAGCAAUCGUGGGUCAGCAAUCAGCACUUCUGAGGUUGCGAAAGCCUUCUGGCGCAGAGUGGAAUAUGAGAGGUCUAUUGGACUACUAGCUCUUAGCAAGACUCACAUCACCGCAAUGAUAGGUGUUCUAACUGGACACUUUCCCAUUGACACUCAAGCGAUGGUACGAAGUCUUAGAAUCACCAUAAACCAUAGGGGUCGCCUUGAAAACGGAGAUUCCAAAGAUUGACCCAGAACCGCUGUUUUGUAACAAAAUGUCGAUAUAAUUUUUAUUUAUUCACUGAAAUAAAUGUUUAUGGUAUUGCCAAAAGUGUCAUCCGCUUGGCUACCGAACCAGUUAAGGAAAUACGUAAGUCGCUAAAAACGAAAUACAGAUACACCAUGAAAUUUCGGAAAGGACUGACAGACGUAUCAGGGUGAUAUGAGAUGCCUUAGGGGCACGCAGGAUCGCCAAGAUCAUGUGAAAGAGAGUGGAAGUAAAAGACGCAAGCUUUCUACUCACGCGGUCUCAAAAAGACUGCAGGGCGGUUGUUGGCCUAAUCACAGGUCACCACUCACUGUCAACACACCUAGAAAGUGUAGGGAAGUAAGCAUGAGAAAGACACUGGAACGCCUCUUCUGCUUAUGUCCGACCUUAUCUAUAAAGCCUGGAUAUCUAUGAGUUGCGCAGUGCAAUGGACUGGACGAAGUAUCAAAAUCUCAAGUCUCUAUUAAACUUCGCAAAAAGCGUUAACGUCCUACAUGACGUAAACUUCAGCUGGUAUUAGUAAUGAACCGCCAUCUUGCAUUACAAAGGACCUGUAGGUCUAUGUAUGACGUGACAGUGAGACAAUGUAAACUAAGCUAACAAAAAUGCAUGUUCAAUAGAGCCUAGAAGAGAGAAAUACAUUUGCUUUUCUCUUGCCUCCAGAAUAUAUUAUAAAGGUUAAGACUUUUUUCAUGACUACAGAGGGGCCUAACCCUUCAGAAAUGCAUAUACUAGCAUUAUUUAAGUCAAGUUACUUAAGUAGAGCUGUAUAUAUAUACUUAUAUAGGUUAUUAUAUACUUAGAAAGUAAAAUCAGUUUAUAUGUAUAAAGCAUAUGAAGAGCAAAAAUUUAUUUACUAAAUAAUGAAUUGUACUGACCAAAAUUGUAUGUGAUCUUACUGCCAAAUUAUCUAUAAC